rnacentral:rRNA from 1 species
CACGUAGGGCGCAAGCGUUGUCCGGAAUUAUUGGGCGUAAAGAGCUCGUAGGCGGUGUGUCGCGUCGGCCGUGAAAACCUGGGGCUCAACUCUGGGCGUGCGGUCGAUACGGGCAUCACUUGAGUUCGGCAGGGGAGACUGGAAUUCCUGGUGUAGCGGUGAAAUGCGCAGAUAUCAGGAGGAACACCGGUGGCGAAGGCGGGUCUCUGGGCCGAUACUGACGCUGAGGAGCGAAAGCGUGGGGAGCGAACAGG